rnacentral:rRNA from 1 species
AUUGAACGCUGGCGGCAGGCCUAACACAUGCAAGUCGAACGAGUGGCGGACGGGUGUGUAAUGUCUGGGCACCUGCCCGAUCGAGGGGGCUAACUACUGUAACCGGUAGCUAAUACCGCUUACGCUCGGUUCUGCCCAGAUGGGAUUAGCUAGUCGGUGGGGUAUCGGCUCACCUAGGCGUCGAUCCCUAGCUGGUCUGAGAGGAUGACCAGCCACACUGGAACUGAGACACGGUCCAGACUCCUACGGGAGGCAGCAGUGGGGAAUAUUGGACAAUGGGCGCAAGCCUGAUGCAGCAAUGCCGCGUGUAUGAAGAAGGCUUUAGGGUUGUAAAGUACUUUCAGCGGGGAGGCGUUACCCGCAGAAGAAGCAACGGCUAACUCCGUGCCAGCAGCCGCGGUAAUAC